GGCAAUUUCUCUAUCAGAUAUUGCGUCUAAGACAGAUGAGAUAUUUCGAUGCAAAAAGCACACAAUACUUGCAGGCAAUUGCUGGUCAUAUAUAUUUGUAAUAAAAGUACGAACAAAGAUACAUCACAACAUGCAUCAACAAACAAUAUAACAGGCAAACAUUACAAUAAUCUGAGGCCUCAGAUGGGAGCUUCUCUUUGCGUGUUACUUCAUACUCUAAAGGUACGCUCAGAGAACACCCCUGGAUGCCAUUGGAGGGGGUGGCGGCCGUGCCAUGUAACCCUCUGGCUUUGUUGACGCUAGCCAGGGGGUCAAGGAACAGGCCCAUACAUCAAAGGAUUGCAUGGAAGAUGAUUUACAACACACAAAAACAUAGGAACAGGCAGGCAAUAAAAUGCAUCACACGACCCUCGAAGGUUCACACUUUAAAUGACCCACAAGGAGAGUAGAAGGCAGGCAAUAUAUGCAUCACACAAAAUAGUAACAAAACUUAAGUUCAUAGAUAGACCAAAAACGUAACAACAUGUAGAUUUUCCA